CUAAAUAAGAAGUGGCAGUAUCAUAGCCAAUGAGGUUAAUCCGAGGCGUGAUUAUUGCUAGUUGAAAACUUUUCCCAAUGCCCUCAGUUUUCUCUAUGAGAAAUUGAAAUUGUAUCUUUGCACUAAUAUCCCAAAUGUGC